rnacentral:tRNA from 1 species
GUCCCAGUGGCGCAAUCGGGUAGCGCGCGGUACUUAUAAUGCCGAGGUUGUGAGUUCGAGCCUCACCUGGGACA